rnacentral:rRNA from 1 species
AACGAACGCUGGCGGCAUGCCUAACACAUGCAAGUCGAACGAGACCUUCGGGUCUAGUGGCGCACGGGUGCGUAACGCGUGGGAACCUGCCCUUAGGUUCGGAAUAACUCCCCGAAAGGGGUGCUAAUACCGGAUAAUGUCUUCGGACCAAAGAUUUAUCGCCUUUGGAUGGGCCCGCGUUGGAUUAGCUAGUUGGUAGGGUAAAAGCCUACCAAGGCGACGAUCCAUAGCUGGUCUGAGAGGAUGAUCAGCCACGCUGGGACUGAGACACGGCCCAGACUCCUACGGGAGGCAGCAGUGGGGAAUAUUGGACAAUGGGCGAAAGCCUGAUCCAGCAAUGCCGCGUGAGUGAUGAAGGCAUUAGGGUUGUAAAGCUCUUUUACCCGGGAUGAUAAUGACAGUACCGGGAGAAUAAGCUCCGGCUAACUCCGUG